GAUGAACGCUGGCGGCGUGCCUAAUACAUGCAAGUCGAGCGAACGGACGAGAAGCUUGCUUCUCUGAUGUUAGCGGCGGACGGGUGAGUAACACGUGGAUAACCUACCUAUAAGACUGGGAUAACUUCGGGAAACCGGAGCUAAUACCGGAUAAUAUUUUGAACCGCAUGGUUCAAAAGUGAAAGACGGUCUUGCUGUCACUUAUAGAUGGAUCCGCGCUGCAUUAGCUAGUUGGUAAGGUAACGGCUUACCAAGGCAACGAUGCAUAGCCGACCUGAGAGGGUGAUAGGCCACACUGGAACUGAGACACGGUCCAGACUCCUACGGGAGGCAGCAGUAGGGAAUCUUCCGCAAUGGGCGAAAGCCUGACGGAGCAACGCCGCGUGAGUGAUGAAGGUCUUCGGAUCGUAAAACUCUGUUAUUAGUGAAGAACAUAUGUGUCAGUAACUGUGCACAUCUUGACGGUACCUAAUCAGAAAGCCACGGCUAACUAUGUG
rnacentral:rRNA from 1 species